rnacentral:rRNA from 2 species
UACGUAGGGGGCGAGCGUUGUCCGGAAUUAUUGGGCGUAAAGCGCGCGCAGGCGGUCUUUUAAGUCUGAUGUGAAAGCCCACGGCUUAACCGUGGAGGGCCAUUGGAAACUGGAGGACUUGAGUGCAGAAGAGGAGAGUGGAAUUCCACGUGUAGCGGUGAAAUGCGUAGAGAUGUGGAGGAACACCAGUGGCGAAGGCGACUCUCUGGUCUGUAACUGACGCUGAGGCGCGAAAGCGUGGGUAGCGAAC